GUCCAGCGUGCACCUUCCAUUGCUGUUGCACAAGCCGGGGCAGCCCUCUGUUGAAACAGACAAAGAAGAACACCACAGGGAAAAUUCUUAGAUGAUAAAAAACAUUCUGAUCCCAGUUUCCAAGGGAAUACAAACAUAUUAUAAGCUGUACUCUUCUACAGUGGACCAUCACUGGAUGUGAAUUUCAGUUCUGUGUACCAGGUGCCGUGCUCGGUGCAGCGGGGAUGGCAGGCUCUCUGGUUGCAGGCUGCGCCCGUCCAGCCGUCCUCGCAGCGACAUGUUCCACCCAUGCAGACACCGUGCGUGCCGCAGUCCACCGAACAGAUUUCUGGAUUUGAGAGGGGAACAGGGGAGAAAAGGAGGCAGAGAGUGCACACAGGAGAGAGAGGGUGUGCAUUAAUUAGCAGCGCUACAUUUUAAUUCAACACAUGAAGAGCAAGAAAGGCAAAAUCUUUGGUAAUUAAAUCAAAGGGAUUUACAGUGAAAGGCAUUUUCAGGUAGGACCCAACAUAAUAUGGAGCACAGAGUUUUAUCUCCAUGUUAAUACUUAGUUAUCCAGUAGACUUAGUGGUGCUUAAGUGCACACAGUUCUUCUGUUAGCUCUAAGCAACUUUUAUUUACAUUUUUUGAGAUCACAUACAUCUUAAGAGCAGCCUUUCAUAACUUAGGUUAUAUGGCACUUAAACCUAGAAGUUACAACAUACUUCUAGUGACUAAAUGUACCACAUACCUAGGUCAUUGUACAUUGUAAGCAAAAAUCUACUAUUAAUGAAAGUUCAUUUUAACAAGGUUUCCCCUCCCUACCCUGCUCCCUGUUUUCUUUCAAAGUAAAAAUGUGCCAUUUCUGACACAUUUUUUCAUUGUAAAGAAUCAGCCUUACUGAGACAAAUUAGUACUAUGCUGACAUACUGACACAUCUGUUAAAUAUAAAAGAUGAUUCUCUUUUACAUUCAGUAAAUUUGUAUCAGUGACAGCUAUGAGCAGUCUGAUUUAAAUAAUAGAUUGUUAAAAAAAUAAAUCAACAUACAGCAAUUUAACUUGUCAUUUACGUAUAGUAACAGGAUCUUGUAACUGAUAGAAUAAUUGAAAAAUAUGUUAAGAGCCAAAGGUAGACAGAGGCCAAACAACGCAUGUUAAGUCUCUGCUAAUACAACAUGAUAAUUUAGACUGCCAGAUUUUGCAUUUACAGUUUCAGUUCAUUUAGUCAGACUCCAGAAAACCUUACUUCUGCUAAGCACACAACAGAAAAAAGGAGAAGCUACAAUACAGCCUGAGGGAAUUCUUCGGUUCCUUGGCAUACAGUUGGUUGUAACCACAUAAGAAUAUUGCUUCAUAAGAGUACUGUAUUUUGUUUUUGUUUUCUUGUAAAAGACAACAAACAGUUUAGUAAUA